AAUCAACGCUGGCGGCGUGCCUCAGACAUGCAAGUCGAACGAUUAAAGCUCUCUUCGGAGAGUGUAUAGAGUGGCGCACGGGUGAGUAACACGUAAGUAAUCUACCCUCGAGUGGGGAAUGACAACCGGAAACGGUUGCUAAUACCGCAUAAUGCAGCGGCACCGCAAGGUGACAGUUGUUAAAGAUUUAUCGCUUGAGGAGGAGCUUGCGGCAGAUUAGCUAGUUGGUAGGGUAACGGCUUACCAAGGCUACGAUCUGUAACCGGUCUAAGAGGACGGUCGGUCACACUGACACUGAAUAACGGGUCAGACUCCUACGGGAGGCAGCAGUCGGGAAUUUUGGGCAAUGGGCGAAAGCCUGACCCAGCAACGCCGCGUGAAGGAUGAAGUAUUUCGGUAUGUAAACUUCGAAAGAAUAGGAAGAAUUAAUGACGGUACUAUUUAUAAGGUCCGGCUAACUACGUG
rnacentral:rRNA from 1 species